GACGAACGCUGGCGGCGUGCCUAAUACAUGCAAGUAGAACGCAGUUGCGAACGGGUGAGUAACGCGUAGGUAACUGCCUGGAAGCGGGGGAUAACUAUUGGAUACGAUAGCUAAUACCGCAUACUUCCAGAUGGACCUGCGUUGUAUUAGCUAGUUGGUGAGGUAACGGCUCACCAAGGCAACGAUACCUAGCCGAGCCGGGAAGGUGAACGGGCACACUGGGAAUUGGGCACGGGCCAGACUCCUUCGGGGGGCAGGAGUAGGGGAAUUUCGGCAAUGGGGGGAACCCUGACCGAGCAACGCCGGGUGAGAUAUGGAGGCCUUCGGGUUGUAAAACUAUGUUAAGCGGGACGCGGUACCGGAAUAGAAAGCAACGGCUAACUACGUGCCAGCAGCCGCGGUAAUAC
rnacentral:rRNA from 1 species